AUUCCAAUGGCUAGUUUACAUUACUUUAUUCCUAUUGCCAAGCACGAAGACCAUAAACAAGGAUCGUUUCUCAUUAAACAGAUACCAAAUUAUUUUUAAAUUGAAUUUGCAUUUCAAUUAUUUGGUCUUCUUCCUCUGCUCUGUCCUUCUUCCUAUGAAGCCGCUGUACCGUUCAUACUCAUUACUCUUUCCUUUUUAUAAACCAAACCUUCUUCCAUUCUUCUACCAAUCCAACUUUCGGCUACUUUCCCUUCCACUUGAGCUGGAAAAAUGCUAAAAAACCAUUAUUUUUAAGCUUACUACUGCAAAACUAUGGCUGCUUCCAAUACUAAAAACAACCCAGAAGAGAUUGCAAUUCCUAUUUCUCCUCUUGCAAAAGAGCAAUCUCCUAAAAUGGGUCCUCAAAAUAAUGAAUUUGAGAAAAAACCCAUGAAUAAUUCUUCACAAUCUCCAGAAAUUUCUGGGUUUAGUGCAAGCCCUAAGAAACCUCCUUUAUACCCAACUCCUGAUUCACCCUUAAGAAGGAGACAAUCUUUUAAGAAUAAAACUAGAUUUGGUGAACCUUCAGUUCCUCUUGAUUCUCAAACCCUUGAUUAUAUAGCAAAUUCUCCUAGAUUUUUGAACCAAUCUUCUUUCAAAGAGAAGACUCCUAAGGCAGCUUCUGGAAGGUCAAAAGGGGAAGGAGGAGAAGAGAAGGAGAAACAGAAGGAAGGUCCAGAUGAGAAGGAGAUUUAUAGAAGAGUAACUGCUCAAUUAAGUGCUAGAAAAAGUUGGAGAAUGACAAUCAAAUUGGUACUUGAAUUGGUUGUUUUUUUGUGUAUUUUAAGUUGUUUGAUUUGUAGUUUAUUUGUUGAGGGUUUUAAGGGUAAAUUAUUUGGUGGGUUGGAUGUUUGGAAAUGGUUUGCACUUGCAUUGGUUAUAUUUUCUGGUAUGUUGGUAACUGGAUGGUUUGUGCAUUUGAUUGUGUUUUUCAUUGAAUGGAAAUUCUUGUUGAAGAAAAAUGUGGUGUAUUUUACUCAUGGAUUACAGUCUAAUGUUCAAAUAUUUUUAUGGGUUCUUGUGGUUCUUAUAACAUGGGUUGUAUUGUUUAAACAUGAUUCAAAAACUGCCCCAAAAAUGAGCCAAAAAUGGAAGGAUAUACUUGAUUUCAUGACAUGGACUAUAGCUUCUUUGCUAAUAGGAUCCUUUUUAUGGUUAGUUAAGACUACCUUGAUAAAGAUGUUGGCAUCAUCCUUUCACUUAAAUAGGUUUUUUGAGAGGAUUCAGGAGGCUGUGUUUGAUCACUAUGCGCUUGAAACACUAUCAGGGAGUCCUGUCGUUGAAAUGGCUCGAAAACUUAGUAGGAAUGAGAGUCGUGAUCCUCAGGUUAGUUUUACGGAGCAUAUGGGUGAUCAUACAGAGAAAAGAGUGGUUGAUUGGGGUAAACUUCAUCAAAUGAAGAAGGAGAAAGUGCCUUCUUGGACUAUGAAGUUGUUGGUUGAUGUGAUUUCGAAUUCAGGGUUAUCGACUAUGUCGAAUAUUCUUAACCAAGAUAUGGUUGAAGGAGGGGUUGAAUUGGAUGAUGAUGAAAUUACGUGCGAGGAAGAAGCUAUCGCCACUGCUGUUAGGAUCUUCUACAAUGUGAUCGGUGAUAAGUCCGAACUGUACCUAGAUAGAGGUGACCUCCAUAGGUUCAUGAUUUGGGAAGAGGUGUCUCUUAUUUAUCAAAAUUUUGAUGUCAAUGAUAAAGGGCAAGUUGAUUUGAAAGCUUUUUCUAAGUGGGUGGUUAAAGUUUUUAAAGACCGGCAAUCAUUGAAACAUGCUUUAAACGACAACAAAACUGCUGUGGAUGAGUUGAACAAGUUGCUGAAUGGAAUCCUGAUUGUCAUAAUAAUCAUCCUCUGGCUUCUACUGACGGAAAUUGUCACGACAAAAAUUCUUCUCUUCUUCUCUUCUCAACUUCUCGUAGCAGUUUUUGUGUUCGGAAACACUUGCAGGACCAUUUUUGAGGCGAUCAUAUUUGUUUUCGUUAUGCACCCAUUUGAUGUUGGUGAUCGCUGUGUCAUUGAUGGAUCAUUGAUGAUUGUUGAAGAAAUGAAUAUCUUGAAUACAAUAUUCCUGAAAAUCGACAAGGAAAAGGUCUAUUAUCCGAAUUCAGUUUUGGCUACUAAAGCCAUUGGCAACUAUUACCGGAGUCCAGAUCAGGGAGAUUCAUUAGAGUUCGGGAUUGAUUAUAAAACACCAUUGCCUAAGAUUGCAGAGCUAAAAGAACGAAUAAAACGGUAUGUGGAGCAAACUCCUCAAUAUUGGCACCCUGAACAUAGUUUGGUUAUCAAAGAGAUUGAGAAUGUCAAUAAGAUGAAAAUGGCUAUAUUUUUCACUCAUACAAUGAACUUCCAAGACCUUGUUGCAAAGGGACAGCGAAAAACCGAGUUUAUCUUGGAAUUGAAGACGAUAUUUGAUGAUCUAGAAAUCUCAUACCACCUUCUGCCGCAAGAGAUUCAUCUUACUAAAAUGCCUUCAAAUGUCUGAUUUCGUUUCGGAUUUGUUCGUUUGCUAUCUGCAGCAGCAAGUAAGGCCUCUUUAAUCCCCAAGUGUUUGAUGGAUCGGAUGCGCGAUGACCGAUGAGUGAUGCUGUUGAAGUUCCUUUAUGUUCUGCUGGCAUGAUUGCCUGUGCUAAGAGAUGGAUGGUAACUUGUGAACAUAUAGUUUUGAUGCCCUAGAUUUUUGCAGUUGUAGUUUAUUUGUUGUGCAAAUGUAUUUGGCAAGUCAAUGCAAGCUUAGCCAAACAAUUAGAUUGUAUAUAGAUGUUUGGUAAAAUAACUUAUUGAAAAACAACUUAUAGCUAUGAAUUAGUUAUUUUUAAACAAAU